GUUAAUGAAGGAGAAAUAAGGAAACAAGGGAAGGGGUAAUUUUAUCUUUUGGACCCCUAUGUAUGGAAGGUCCCAGAUUUAGGAAGGGAGCUCUUCUCGUUUUAGAAAACAGCUAUGCAAGUCGACUUGGUUGCCUCGGAAUCUCUCUGCAAUUUUGAUUGUUUUUGGACAAACUUUCAUACGCCGAUUCCAAUGAAUUUUGUCGACGACAAUCUUGGCCACCAUAUGGGAUAGACUCCUCUCGUCCCCAUGGUCAUUUCCCACCCAAGAUCAACCUAGUUUGGCUCUCAUUUGUGGCGGAUUGAGUCUUGAGAAUUCCGGGACUUUGAUGCCGACGAUCUGCCUUCUCCGUUCACCUCAACGUCGAUGACUGCCUCCACUGCAUUAACCUCAAUUUGGGCUGCAAACUCCGAGCUUUAAAUUUGACGUUCGAGCUCUAUUAAAGACUCGACAAGGCUUCAAUUUGACAUAAUAUGGGUCAUUUUUUGUUAUGGCCACAAUCCGGCGAGUCAUAGCCACUAAUUAUCGUGUGCGAUGGCGGGUGGCAGUGGUGUGUAGGCUCGAUGCCCACUUUGUCUACUUAGGCCAAUUCAUGUGCCCUGAAUUUGGUUUUUGACACCCCUUUGACAAGAUUUGACUGUUUGAUCCUAGUUUCGUAAAGGUCCGCCACACGGCCUUUCUAGUAGAUGAAGAUCUGACUGUUGGAUCCUUAUGAAAUUAUAGUAUGUGGUUAUACGUAAUACUUUAGGAUCUUAGGAAUUUACAGGUUGGAAGUUCGACGUACAGGUCAUCCGGAUUAAAUUAUUAGGGUUGUUAACCGUAUCGUUGACCACAUUAACCAAGGGUUGACAUUUGGUCAAAAUGUUCCAAAUCGUUCUUAAGUACUGAAAUUAACAUUA